CUUCAUUCAAACCAAACAGAUGCAUUUCAAAUUUCGGCCGAGAUUAAGAAACGCGAUUCUUCAUUUCUUCGUGUAAAUCAGUAAUUUUGAUAGAAAAUCAAAAUGUUCAAGACUGCGAUUGGAUUAAUUUUGCUAUUUGGAAUAUUGAGCAUUUUAAGUCAACAUGUUAUCAUUGCAGCGCCACAGUUUGGCUUCCGACGUUUUUUCAAUGGUAAUUCCUUCCCAGCUUUUCAACACUUUGGAAGAGGACUUAAUGAGUUCCGACAAGGAUUCAGAGAUUUUCGUCAAAUUGGAAAUCUUUUCUCUUGAUGUAUAAAAGCAGUACAAUAAAAAAACUUAACCAAUUUAGUAAGAAA